rnacentral:rRNA from 1 species
AUUGAACGCUGGCGGCAGGCCUAACACAUGCAAGUCGAGCGGAUGAAGGGAGCUUGCUCCUGGAUUCAGCGGCGGACGGGUGCGUAAUGCCUAGGAAUCUUCCUGCUAGUGUGGGAUAACGGCCGGAAACGGGCGCUAAUACCGCAUACGUCCUGAGGGAUAAAGUGGGGGACCUUGGGACCUCACACGAGCAGAUGAGCCUAGAGCGGAUUAGCUAGUUGGGGGGGGAAAGGCCUACCAAGGCGACGAGCCGUAACUGGUCUGAGAGGAUGAGCAGUAAAACUGGAACUGGGCCACGGUCAGGCCUCCUACGGGAGGAAGCAGUGGGGAAUAUUGGCAAUGGGGCGAAAGCUUGCUCCAGACCUGCCGGGUGUGGGAAGCAGGUCUUCGGAUUGUAAAGCCCUUUAAGUUGGGCGGAAGGGCAGUAAGUUAAUACCUUGCUGUUUUGACGUUACCAAAAGAAUAAGCACCGGCUAACUUCGUG